AGUCUGGGAUACCACUUGGAAACAGGUGCUAAUACCGGAUAAGAAGCGGAUCGCAUGAUCAGCUUUUAAAAGGCGGCGUAAGCUGUCGCUAUGGGAUGGCCCCGCGGUGCAUUAGCUAGUUGGUAAGGCAAAGGCUUACCAAGGCGAUGAUGCAUAGCCGAGUUGAGAGACUGAUCGGCCACAUUGGGACUGAGACACGGCCCAAACUCCUACGGGAGGCAGCAGGC
rnacentral:rRNA from 1 species